ACCAUUCCUGACACUCAGACGCGAAAGCUAGGGUAGCAAACGGGAUUAGAGACCCCGGUAGUCCUAGCCCUAAACGAUGUAGACUAGGCGUCGGUGGUUUAAUCACCAUCGGUGUCCAAGCUAACGCGAUAAGUCUACCGCCUGGGACUACGGCCGCAAGGUUAAAACUCAAAGGAAUUGACGGGUCCCCGCACAAGCAGCGGAGCGUGUGGUUUAAUUCGUUGCUACACGAAGAACCUUACCUGGGUUUGACAUAGCAGUGGUAGGGAAGCGAAAGCGGACCGACCCUUCGGGGAGCUGUUACAGGUGUCGCAUGGCUGUCGUCAGCUCGUGUCGUGAGAUGUUCGGUUAAGUCCGCUAACGAGCGCAACCCGCGUUGUGUGUUACAAGUGUCACACAAUACCGCCGGUAUUAAGUCGGAGGAAGGUGCGGAUGACGUCAAGUCAGCAUGACCUUUAUAUCCAGGGCUACACACACGCUACAAUGGUCAGCACAAUAGGUUGCCAAGUCGUGAGACGGAGCCAAUCCUCCAAAGCUGGCCUCAGUUCAGAUUGUAGGCUGCAACCCGCCUGCAUGAAGUUGGAGUUGCUAGUAACCGCAGGUCAGCUAUACUGCGGUGAAUACGUUCCCGGGGAUUGCACACACCGCCCGUCAAG
rnacentral:rRNA from 1 species